rnacentral:rRNA from 1 species
AGUGAACGCUGGCGGUAGGCCUAACACAUGCAAGUCGAACGGCAGCACAGUAAGAGCUUGCUCUUACGGGUGGCGAGUGGCGGACGGGUGAGGAAUACAUCGGAAUCUACUUUUUCGUGGGGGAUAACGUAGGGAUACUUACGCUAAUACCGCAUACGACCUACGGGUUAAAGCAGGGGUUCUUCGGACUUUGCGCGAUUGAAUGAGCCGAUGUCGGAUUAGCUAGUUGGCGGGGUAAAGGCCCACUAAGGCGACGAUCCGUAGCUGGCCUGAGAGGCUGAUCAACCAAACUGAAACUGAGACACGGACCAGACACCUACGGGAGGCCGCAGUGGGGAAUAUUGGACAAGGGGCGCAAGCCUGAUCCAGCCAUACCGCGUGGGUGAAGAAGGCCUUCGGGUUGUAAAGCCCUUUUGUUGGGAAAGAAAAGCAGCAGGUUAAUACCCCGCUGUUCUGACGGUACCCAAAGAAUAAGCACCGGCUAACUUCGU